GAUGAACGCUGACAGAAUGCUUAACACAUGCAAGUCGAUGGGGAAGUGGUGCUUGCACCAUGGUAACCAUGGCGGACGGGUGAGUAACGCGUAAGGAACUUGCCUGCGGGACUGGGAUAACAGCAGGAAACUGCUGAUAAUACCGGAUAAGGUCAUUAAGCUGCAUAGCUUAGUGAUGAAAGGAGACGCCUGCGGAGAGCCUUGCGUCCUAUUAGCUAGUUGGAGGGGUAACGGCCCACCAAGGCGAAGAUAGGUAGCCGGCCUGAGAGGGUGGACGGCCACAAGGGGACUGAGAUACGGCCCUUACUCCUACGGGAGGCAGCAGUGGGGAAUAUUGGACAAUGGGGGCAACCCUGAUCCAGCAAUGCUGUGUGCACGAAGACGGUUUUCGGAUUGUAAAGUGCUUUCAGCAGGGAAGAAGGAAGUGACGGUACCUGCAGAAGAAGCGACGGCUAAAUACGU
rnacentral:rRNA from 1 species